AAAAGUGGACUGAUGCGGAGGUGCAGGCGCUGCUGGCCAUGUACGCCACCAAGGAGGUGGGGUUUGUAUGUGGCGCUAAAGUCAAGUGACAAUGCUAUAAAGACCGUUGCUGUGCUUGCGUCACUCCUUUACCCCUCCUACCAGUUCCUGUGGUUACUUGGCCGGUGCGAAUGCAAAUGG